rnacentral:rRNA from 1 species
CAGCCGCCGCGGGAAAACGUAGGGUGCGAGCGUUAAUCGGAAUUACUGGGCGUAAAGCGUGCGCAGGCGGUUCGUUAAGACAGAUGUGAAAUCCCCGGGCUUAACCUGGGAACUGCAUUUGUGACUGGCGAGCUAGAGUACGGCAGAGGGGGAUGGAAUUCCGCGUGUAGCAGUGAAAUGCGUAGAUAUGCGGAGGAACACCGAUGGCGAAGGCAAUCCCCUGGGCCUGUACUGACGCUCAUGCACGAAAGCGUGGGGAGCAAACAGGAUUAGAUACCCCCGUAGUCCCUGUCUCUUAUAA